UUUCCGACCACUUUUUGUGAUCGGUUUUGGGUGGUCAGUUUUUCCGAAUAUUUUUUAGUAGUGUAUAUGGCUGAAAAAAAUUCAAACUGCAAGAGACAAGAACAGAUGCACAGACCUUAUCAUCAAUAUAAGUGGCCCAAAAUCUUGCAAUGGCACGAUCAUAAGGAUGAGAAGGGAGAAUAGAAGGACCAGAAUUAGUACAAUUUUCAUCAAUAUAAUGAACAGUGAUUAAAGAUUCCACAAAUUGGCUUUCCAUCAUGAAUUAGAACAGGAAUUUUCUUGUAAACUGGAUCUGAUUUAAGGAUAAUUUCACUUUUAGUACCAAAUUGUUCUUCCAAGAAAUCAUAGGCCAAAGAUUUGAUGUUAAGUGCUAUACGUGGCCUCGUGACAUAUGGACUUGUCCAUGCACCUAAUAUUUUCAAAUCAACAUUUUUAGCCAUGAAUAUAUCAUCAAAGAACACACAAGAAAUAAAGAUGCAAUGGAAUGAUAUCCAUCUUAUUUAGGAGUAUAUAGAAUAGGUGGUUUCGAUAUGGUGCUAACUUGUCAACAAAUUGUAGAGUUAAAGGGCAUAUUCGACUUUUUAAAAAUUAUCUGUGAAUCAUGUCUUUUAGCUCACCCCUAAAGAGCCACGUAUUGUUUUUGCUUUCUUUUGAGCAUGUUUCAUUCUCCUUCUCUAUCUAUCUAAUUUCAAUUCAAUCUGAAAUUUUCCUGCAUAAAUUUGAAAGACUGUGCAGCAACAAUGCAUCAGAAUGAGCAAUAAUCCUUUUUGAAGAAAGAGCAAACCAGGCUUUUUAUGCAUGCGAGUUUGUGCCGAUUUUCUUGGUGACGGAAUUUGGAGAUAUUUUCUGGUUAUUUUAUUUUGAUUUUUGGAUUUUACUUUAAGCUUUGGUGACCUAUUGAUUGCUCGUCUGUAGUGGUAUUUGUUAUUUGACUAUAAAUUAGAGCUCCGUAAAGUUCUCGACUCUUUAUGUUUUUUGAAGUUUGAUGCGUAUCAAUCUAUCUUUUACUUAUUUCAAAUAUCUAUUCUUAUUCUUCCUCUUUUGAAUUUAGUGCAAAUAUUCUUCUAAAAAUUGUACGGGAACAUAUAAAAACAUAUGUCACCUCAUCAAAAAUUUUGUUAUUAUCUUUUAAAAUUUUCCUUAAAAAGGUGGAUAGAAAUCUUGCGCAAGGGGGCUUUGUUACAAGGAUGAAGUUUCCUUCUUGUUGAACAUAUUUAUCUUUCGCGGUGUUAGGAGAGUUGUUUCUCGACUUAUGUUUUGGUCUUUAUAGUAAUUGUUUACAUAUGUCUUGGAGAGUGGAGAGACAAGAAUUUCUAGGGAAGUAGAGGCCCAUGAGAAGAGGAUCAGGAGAGAGCUUGAGAAGCAAGACAUGUUACGAAGAAAGGUCUCUCCUAUUCAUCACGAAAUAUUCUGUUCGGGAGUUGGAAUGGAUGUGUUCUCUACUUGCAAUCCUUUUAAUUUCUGUGAUACAUAACAACUAAUGAACACUGCAACUGUGCUAAUCUACAAAGUAUCUAGAUUGUGUAUACAGUUUAAGCAUCACACAAACUAGGCAACUAUCUAUACCAGUGGGUAUGUUCUAUUUGCAUGAGAAAUGUGAAUGAAACAUAAGAGGAUUUAUGACCUUGAGUCCUUGACCAAAAAAAAAAAGUAUGGCUAGUUACUUUUUUUUU